rnacentral:rRNA from 1 species
GAUGAACGCUGGCGGCGUGCCUAAUACAUGCCAGUCGAGCGAACAGACGAGGAGCUUGCUCCUCUGACGUUAGCGGCGGACGGGUGAGUAACACGUGGAUAACCUACCUAUAAGACUGGGAUAACUUCGGGAAACCGGAGCUAAUACCGGAUAAUAUAUUGAACCGCAUGGUUCAAUAGUGAAAGACGGUUUUGCUGUCACUUAUAGAUGGAUCCGCGCCGCAUUAGCUAGUUGGUAAGGUAACGGCUUACCAAGGCAACGAUGCGUAGCCGACCUGAGAGGGUGAUCGGCCACACUGGAACUGAGACACGGUCCAGACUCCUACGGGAGGCAGCAGUAGGGAAUCUUCCGCAAUGGGCGAAAGCCUAACGGAGCAACGCCGCGUGAGUGAUGAAGGUCUUCGGAUCGUAAAACUCUGUUAUUAGGGAAGAACAAAUGUGUAAGUAACUAUGCACGUCUUGACGGUACCUAAUCAGAAAGCCACGGCUAACUACGUG